rnacentral:misc_RNA from 1 species
GAUUAUACUUCGGUAAUGGUACACAUAGCUUAAUUGCGGGGGACUGAAAAUCUUUGUGUCACCAUU